ensembl:lncRNA
UCCGAUUUUUAAAACGAUUUCAUUGACACCGAUUUUCUUUGUGUUGACGUGUGCGCCGUGAUAAAUGCCAAGCGAGUGUAUGGAACAGCUAGUUUACAUUUAGCCCCGCCCAUAAAACUCCAUAAAAGGCAAAGCUCACAGAGCUGAAAACAACAAAACGAGAUCUAAACAGAUGAGCUAUUCCUUCUUUUACAGGGCGCCAUUUCUUUUCUUUCUUGAAUAUCUACUCCGAUUUUGUUUUCCUGUAUGCAUUUCUUCCGAGUCUUUGAUGUGAAAUUUCAUGAAACGAAAAGUAAACUUGCGCGUACGACAAAUAAAUAAGGCGUUUCAACUCGACAGCGUCAUCCUCCAGUAACUCAUCGUCUGUUACGCGAUUUUAAACAGACGCGCGUUUUAACGAUACACAUCCUCACAAAGAGGAGCUUUACAGGAAUCCCGAUGUAGGUUUAGAUCUCUGCGAGCGAGCGAGGCGGUGGCGAGAAAAAUCUGAUCGAGACGACACGAGGAGGAAAGAAUUCAGAAAUUCUACUUUCUAAUAGCACGAUGGGAUCGUAUUCACAAAACUAGAGGAUCGUAAACUGGAGAACUUUAGGAGGCGUGGCCUAGGGGAGACGUCCAAGAUUUCUGCCCGCAUGACAUUGCAGCGUUUACGGUAAGUGUUUGUGAUAUCGCUCGAGGCAGAUCUUUACAGAAACGAUUUGUUUGCUUAUUUAGUUUUGCACCAGCGCACCCAACUCCAAUCACGUCUCGGCUAAUCGACUACUUUUGGUGAAAUAAUGACGUAAAUUCGAUUUUUCUCUAACCCCUUCCUUGUGUCACUUUUGCAGAAAUGCACUUUUUGAACUGUUUUCAACCUUGUUUUUAUUCGAGUGAUGUACGGUACAGUCAUUUACUGUAAGCACAUGAUGUACAGUAGGACAAUGGGAUUUAGACGUAUGGGACAUCAGAGUAGCGAAUUGAAAUUUAACUGAUUUAAUGAAUAAACUGACAGCAGCGGUCGGUUGCUAUAUCAAACGAUUGUUGUUGUUGUUUUUCUUUUUCAUUUUGCAAUUAAGAUGUUCUUCACUCGAAAAAUCCUUCAGCUGGACAUCGGUUCAAAUCGGGGGGCUGAUAUGUCGUUCGUCUUCGUCUCCAUUUAAUAACCCGAGCUGUGAGAACCUGCACGUGCUCGCCAUGCGGCGCGUUUUCACGAGCUCUGUGUUUCGGCGGACGGUUGCCGAUGGUUACGGCCGCAGCAGGACCGUAGAUAGCGGUAGCCGGCUCGCUCUGCAAGGUUAAUGAGCUCGUUUUAAAGCAGCACACGUCUUCCGCCCGGGCUCGCCUUCUGCCUUCUGUGGUGUACACACACGCAUGCAUGCAGAGACCGAGAGAGAGAGAGAGAAAGAUAGAGGUUGGAUGGAGGAUGAGGGAGAUGGGGGUUGGACAAACACGUGGGCUGCAUAUCAAUAAACUCUGAAGGCAGUAAAUAAGCCAGUGCUUCACAUGCUCUGUAAAUAACACGCUCUUUUUUUAUUUUUUAUGAACCAGUUCCAGUCACAAUACACUUCGAAACAAAGCACGCUGUUUUUGUGCUUUCAUUUCUUGUUGGAAAUCAGCGUUGAUGUGGAGAAGAGGUGAAGAAAAUUCCUUGAUGCGUUUGAUGCAUUUACAAGAAUGUCACCAAUUUAAUCAAACCAUUUUUUUCGUAUUCGUAGUUGAUGACUUGAGCCUGAAGGUUACGUUAAUGUUUACAUUUUGCGUGUCUUCAUUUUUGGAAGGAGUCUCCAGUGUCAGUCAGGGGUGAAAUCUUCAAGACAGGACGAGGUUGCGCUUUUUUGGUUUCUCGGUACGUGUAAUCCCGAGGCACUACCGAUUCCCGCCCCGGAGGAACAGUGUUUACACACACGGAAUGGCGGAGUCUGAUAUAAUUUGAUGCUAAAACUACAAAAGUACGGUUGUGAAGCGCUGCAUCGUCUGAUCUCUCAGCUCGUUCAUCAGCAUCUCCUGAGCAUUUACUUCAGCACACACUCUGCCUUUUAGAUUGGAUUCCACAGGCGUCAUUAUCCAGGUGAGAGAUCUGUGAACGGUGCCAUCCAUUCUGAACGAAGCUCGGCCGCGCGGCUUCAUCAAUCUCGGGUUUUCGUGCCCCCUUCUGUGCCAGACAUCUCCACCAGAUGAGCUUUUAAAAAGCCCUGAGCUCUGUGGGUUUGCCUGUCGCAGAUUGUGUGACAGACAGGAAGACGACGAUUCAAACGUGUUGCCUGGAACCAAAACAUCGUCUCAAGUCUGCAGUGGAAUUAAUGAUCCUGAGGUCCAGAUGGAGCCUGUGCAUAUUGUGCCUAUGUUUUCAUAUUUCCGCAGUGUGCCAUGAGCUGCAGGAUCACUAGGUGGCAGUCUCCGCUAUCUCAGUUAAACUCCAUUAAAGAUACAGAUUACAGGAAUGAAUAAGAUUUGCAUUCUUAUUCAUGAGUGUAGUGCACCGAGAUGAUCUAUUUAAACUGAGAUGGGAACAGAUGGAAAUGCAUCUCCUUCCUUCUCUCUUGGAUUUGGAUGAUGGCCUGCGGAUUGUGUCAGAAUGUGUGAAACAGGAAGGUCUAUCAGGUCUGUCAGUCUGAGACAAUACCAUGCAAAUCUUUAUUAAAAUAAAUAUCACAUUGUAUAUUAAGUGACUUUAAAAUACAUUUACAACAGCAGUACAUGGUCACACCCCCUUCAGUGUGACAGACAGACAAAAAGGCCACGCCUCCUUCACUGUGACCGAUAGACGCAGAGGGCACAUGUCUGUGAGUAGGACUGACUAUUACAAAGGCCACGCCUCCUUGAGCAGGGCUGACAGAAACAAAGGCCACGCCUCCUUGAGCAGGGCUGACAGAAACAAAGGCCACGCCUCCUUGAGUAGGGCUGACAGAAACAGGCCACGCCUCCAAAGGCCACGCCUCCUUGAGCAGGGCUGACAGAAACAAAGGCCACGCCUCCUUGAGUAGGGCUGACAGAAACAAAGGCCACGCCUCCUUGAGCAGGGCUGACAGAAACAAAG